GGUGUGUCUGUCAGUCGAGUUGUUCCGGUAGUGUUAGAGAGGUGAGUCACGUGGUUGUGUCUGUCAGGUGAGUUGUUCUGGUAGUGUUAGAGAGGUGAGUCACGUGGUUGUGUCUGUCAGGCGAGUUGUUCUGGUAGUGUUAGAGAGGUGAGUCAUGUGGUUGUGUCUGUCAGGCGAGUUGUUCUAGUAGUGUUAGAGAGGUGAGUAACGUUGUUGUGUCUGUCAGGCGAGUUGCUCUGGUAGUGUUAGAGAGGUCAGUCACGUGGUUGUGUCUGUCAGACGAGUCGUUCCGGUAGUGUUAGAGAGGUGAGUCACGUGGUUGUGUCUGACAGGCGAGUUGUUCUGGUAGUGUUAGAGAGGUGAGUCACGUGGUUGUGUCUGUCAGGCGAGUUGUUCUGGUAGUGUUAGAGAGGUGAGUCACGUGGUUGUGUCUGUCAGACGAGUUGUUCCGGUAGUGUUAGAGAAAUGAGUGACGUGGGUGUGUCUGUCAGGCGAGUUGUUCUGGUAGUGUUAGAGAGGUGAGUCACGUGGUUGUGUCUGUCAGGCGAGUUGUUCUGGUAGUGUUAGAGAGGUGAGUCACAUGGUUGUGUCUGUCAGACGAGUUGUUCCGGUAGUGUUAGAGAGGUGAGUCACGUGGUUGUGUCUGUCAGUCG
rnacentral:lncRNA from 1 species